rnacentral:rRNA from 1 species
UACGUAGGGGGCAAGCGUUGUCCGGAUUUAUUGGGCGUAAAGAGCGUGUAGGCGGCCUGGAAGGUCAGCUGUGAAAACUCGAGGCUCAACCUCGAGACGUCGGUUGAAACCACCUGGCUAGAGUCCGGAAGAGGAGAGCGGAAUUCCUGGUGUAGCGGUGGAAUGCGCAGAUAUCAGGAAGAACACCCGUGGCGAAGGCGGCUCUCUGGGACGGUACUGACGCUGAGACGCGAAAGCGUGGGGAGCGAACAGG